GACCUUGCCGCGCAAGUUAUAGCGCGUAGGACUUCUAAUCCAAAGGUCGUGGGUUCAAAUCCCACCUGGGAUGGCA